GCCGAAGUAGCUCAAUUGGUAGAGCGACGCUCUCGUAAAGCGUAGGUCGUCGGUUCGAAUCCGAUCUUCGGCU
rnacentral:tRNA from 1 species